GACGAACGCUGGCGGCGUGCCUAAUACAUGCAAGUCGAGCGCAGGAAACCGUCUGAACCCUUCGGGGGGACGACGAUGGAAUGAGCGGCGGACGGGUGAGUAACACGUAAAGAACCUGCCCACGGGUCUGGGAUAACCACGAGAAAUCGGGGCUAAUACCGGACGGGUCAUCGGACCGCAUGGUCCGCGGAUGAAAGGCGCUCCGGCGUCGCCCGGGGAUGGCUUUGCGGUGCAUUAGCUAGUUGGUGGGGUAACGGCCCACCAAGGCGACGAUGCAUAGCCGACCUGAGAGGGUGAUCGGCCACACUGGGACUGAGACACGGCCCAGACUCCUACGGGAGGCAGCAGUAGGGAAUCUUCCACAAUGGACGAAAGUCUGAUGGAGCAACGCCGCGUGAACGAUGAAGGCCCUCGGGUCGUAAAGUUCUGUUGUAAGGGAAGAACAAGUGCCGCAGGCAAUGGCGGCACCUUGACGGUACCUUGCGGGAAAGCCACGGCUAACUACGUGCCAGCCGCCGCGGUAA
rnacentral:rRNA from 1 species